rnacentral:rRNA from 1 species
CCUACGGGUGGCAGCAGUGGGGAAUAUUGGGCAAUGGGCGCAAGCCUGACCCAGCAACGCCGCGUGAAGGAAGAAGGCUUUCGGGUUGUAAACUUCUUUUCUGAGGGACGAAGAAAGUGACGGUACCGCAGGAAUAAGCCACGGCUAACUACGUGCCAGCAGCCGCGGUAAUACGUAGGAGGCAAGCGUUAUCCGGAUUUAUUGGGUGUAAAGGGCGUGUAGGCGGGAAAGCAAGUCCGAUGUGAAAACGCCGGGCUCAACUCUGAGCCUGCUUUUGAAACUGUUUUUCUUGAGUGCUGGAGCGGCAAUCGGAAUUCCGUGUGUAGCGGUGAAAUGCGUAGAUAUACGGAGGAACACCAGUGGCGAAGGCGGAUUGCUGGACAGUAACUGACGCUGAGGCGCGAAAGCGUGGGGAGCAAACCGGAUUAGAUACCCGGGUAGUC